UCUGUUAUUUGAUCUGGUUUUUUGGUUUCUUGUUGUUGGUUUGCUGUUAGGGUUCCUGAAUUUUGUGUCUCAUCGAUGAUAUGCAUGACAUUUUCAAUGGAUUGUUGAAUUGUGUGAAUUGUAGUCUGUUUUUUGGAGUUUCGAAUCGCUAUUACUUUGAGGAGGAUUCAACGUUGCGAUUUGCCUCCUGUUGAUUGUCCCGUAUAAACCUUAGGUUUCUUUUGAAUUUUGUCUUGUACGUUAUCCUUGCCGUUUGCUUUUCCCUGAUGGAGGGGUUAUCUUGGAAAAGAUUCAGACCGUGGAAAAGAUCUGCAUGGGGUAUAUCCAAGUCCUACAUUUCUUCGCCAUGAAGUUUCUAGAGCUCGUAGUGUUUGUCUGUCCGCUGUUUUUUGGGAGCAGUAUUGGAAGGUUAAAGAAACCAUAUGAGAUAUCAUUGGGUUCACUCGGUUGGGAUUUCCAUAUACGUAACUAUUCCAUCUACUUCGUCAUUUCUCAUCAAGAGUAUACUCAACACCAGGAGGAACAGAACUUUCUAGGGGACGGGGGUGGGGGUUGAGGGAACCAUAUUCUCUGCAUUUCGUAUUCUAUAGAACCAAAGGACAAUAGGCAACACGUGUUUCUGAUGUUUAAAACGAGCUUAAUCUUCACUUAGAUUUUCCAAAAUCGGACUGUGCAUAAAGAACUGAUCCCUCUUCAUGGUUGCCUUUGCAAAUACCACACUAGUACAACUAAUAAAUGUGUCGUUAUCUUGUAUGAAUAACAUCAGUAGGAUUUGUCCUUGUAAAAAAAAA